GUUCAGAGGACUUAAGAAAUGGAUGCCCGUAGAGAAGCAGGAUGACCUCUUGGAAUUUGUUUGCACUUUUCAUAGGGGGAUGAAAGCGCUGAAUGCUGGUACAAAUCUUGAUUAUCUGCCCAUGAAUCAUCCGCUUACUUAGAGGCAAACUUUUUCCCAUGAACCAUUUUACUUCCUCAACAAUUCAAGACCACCUCUCGAUUGUGGGUUGGCCUGUGCCCAGAGAAUUCCAGUUCCUUCAACAGAUUAACUUUCAAAUGUUUCAUCAACUUCAACAAAGCAAGGAUUUGCCCCAAAGGCUAUGAACUCCUGAAGAGCUGGAGUCAUAUCUUACUCACCCUUGCACCCCAUUCCUCAGCACGGAGUGGGUCUCAAUACACAACUGAGCAGAAGAGUCAUGACACAUUAGUGAAUAAAGAAGGUCCUGCUGCCUUCACCCAAGGACACCACAUGGAGUCGCCCAUGGAGAGGCAGCUCAACUGCGGGUCAACUCCUGGAUUUCAAACAUCUGCCCUUGUGACCUCUGGCUGAAGCUCACACUGAAAGCCUGUUGUCUACUCCGAUCAUUUCAUCCUGACAUGACCCAUCUCUCAUCUGGUUGACAAUCACAGGAGUCUCCUGUUGAACCUGGCUGGGUUCCCCUGGAACAUCUCCAUGCUUGUCCUUGAGGUCCUCCUCCCAGCCGCCACCACCGAGUGAAUUUCGCCAACUCAACAGAAACCACAGGUCUAGCAAUACUUGGUCCAGAUUCCUACAAGGCAACAGUCAGCUGGAGCUGAACGGAGGCUAACCCCGUGGAAGACACACAUGCUUGCCAUUUGGGCAGAGCCCCACCUCUCCCUCCUAUUUAUACUAUCCCACUUACACCUGCCUACUGUUCAUCUGACAGGUGAGGACACUGAUGUCUAGAAAGGGAGAAGGAUUGUCCAAGGACAUGCAUUUGGUUAGUGUCAGAGCUGGGACGAGAACCCAAAACUCCCCAUUCUACAUUAUUGCUUAUUUAGUUAGAAUCACUCAGUGCCAUUCCACACUGAUAUGCACAUGGUUUUUGGAAGAAAAACUUAAACCUGGUGUCUAGGGACUUUUCAAAGGCCAUGGAGUAUGCCUGGGUCACGAGCAUUAUCAUUAACCAGUCUUCAUUAUGGCACAUGCAUGUCGUUACUUCUAGGAGAUCUGAAUAAGUGUCAUUUUGCAAAACUGCAAACAUCCAUUAAGAUGUUCCCAUCUUUAUGCAUAUCUAAUUUGGGUGGGCUGUGACUUUUCUGCACUAGGAUACUGACAUCCUUACCGAACCUCACGCCAAUUCCAUAAUAGUAAGUACUGCUACCAUUUAUUAGAUAUGUCCUGUGUUGCAAACUGUGUCUAUACCCUUUCCUCCUUAGUAUUCAGAGCAAUCCUCAAAGAUCAGUUUAUUGUUCUCAUUUUACAGAUGCAAAACUGGGGGCUCAGCUAGCCUAAUCAGCUCUAUCAGGAUGACGCAGCUCAAUGAAUGACAGAGCUGGGCUUUGAACCCAGAUACGUUGGGUUCAAGUCCCUUGCCUUGCAGCUAUAUCCUACACGGGCUGACUGCUGUUAGGUUAAGUUUUUGCCCUCUUGGCAUACGCAAGAAUGACGCUCAUAUGUUCAAUGUAGCUCAAAGUAAGGAGGCAAACAAAUACAGGAGAGACAUACAGUCAAGAAUGGGUUAAACUUCCUGAUAGCACCAGUUUAAAAAAUGAAUUCUUCGCAUUUUUAAAAUGUGUAUUGGAAGCAUAUUUCUCUAUGUGCAACAAAAACAUUUAGGCUCCCCUGUCACUUAGGUGAAUUUUGUUUGCAUGGUCUCUUCAUGGAAUACUGAUGUUAAUUUUUGGUUAAGUUUAAUCUUACCAAGUAUAAAGCAAUUUGAUAGAAUAAGUAACCUUUCAUUAAAGUUCAAUACCGUACUUAAGGAAAA